GGACUGUGUGUAGAGAAGACCUGCUGUCUAAACGAGAUGACUUGAAACGUGCCUUUCAAACCCGGGAUCUUCAGGAGUCAUCUGUUCGAAAAUUGAUGACUGAAACAUAUCCCAUUCAGCGUGAAAUCCUCACGAUGCUGAUACCCCUAUUGGCGUUGUAAAGGACGAGUGGCCGUUCCUGUUUGAAGUUCCUCACCUGUUUGAUCAUGCAUCUAAACUUCUUGGCUUCUCUGUACAAAACAAACUGGCACAGGAACUUUCCAAAAAAGAAAAGGGGAUCAAUGACUUCCUUGACUCCAAAGGGAUGAAGACGGGCGAAGGUCCA